rnacentral:rRNA from 1 species
AUUUUCUCGGGCGGCGCUCCAACCCCUGUGACAUACCUAUACGUUGCCUCGGCGGAUCAGCCCGCGCCCCGUAAAAAGGGACGGCCCGCCCGAGGACCCCUAAACUCUGUUUUUAGUGGAACUUCUGAGUAAAACAAACAAAUAAAUCAAAACUUUCAACAACGGAUCUCUUGGUUCUGGCAUCGAUGAAGAACGCAGCAAAAUGCGAUAAGUAAUGUGAAUUGCAGAAUUCAGUGAAUCAUCGAAUCUUUGAACGCACAUUGCGCCCGCCAGUAUUCUGGCGGGCAUGCCUGUUCGAGCGUCAUUUCAACCCUCAAGCUCAGCUUGGUGUUGGGACUCGCGGUAACCCGCGUUCCCCAAAUCGAUUGGCGGUCACGUCGAGCUUCCAUAGCGUAGUAAUCAUACACCUCGUUACUGGUAAUCGUCGCGGCCACGCCGUAAAACCCCAACUUCUGAAUGUUGACCUCGGAUCAGGUAGGAAUACCCGCUGAACUUAAGCAUAUCAAAGCCGGGGAGGGAA